GACGAACGCUGGCGGCGUGCUUAACACAUGCAAGUCGAGCGGUAAGGCCCUUUCGGGGGUACACGAGCGGCGAACGGGUGAGUAACACGUGGGUGACCUGCCUUUAGCUCUGGGAUAAGCCUGGGAAACCGGGUCUAAUACCGGAUAUGACUCCGCGGCGCAUGUUGUGGGGUGGAAAGCCUUGUGCGGCUGGAGAUGGGCCCGCGGCCUAUCAGCUUGUUGGUGGGGUGAUGGCCUACCAAGGCGACGACGGGUAGCCGGCCUGAGAGGGCGACCGGCCACACUGGGACUGAGACACGGCCCAGACUCCUACGGGAGGCAGCAGUGGGGAAUCUUGCGCAAUGGGCGAAAGCCUGACGCAGCGACGCCGCGUGAGGGAUGACGGCCUCGGU
rnacentral:rRNA from 1 species